GCAGCUUGCUGGACUGUAACUGACGCUGAGGCACGAAAGCGUGGGGAUCAAACAGGAUUAGAUACCCUGGUAGNCCACGCCGUAAACGAUGNNUGCUAGCUGUUAGCGAUAUACUGUUAGCGGCACAGAGAAAUCGUUAAGCAUUCCACCUGGGGAGUACGCCGGCAACGGUGAAACUCAAAGGAAUUGACGGGGGCCCGCACAAGCGGAGGAACAUGUGGUUUAAUUCGAUGAUACGCGAGGAACCUUACCUGGGCUUAAAUUGCAGUGGAAUAACGUGGAAACAUGUUAGCCUUCGGGCCGCUGUGAAGGUGCUGCAUGGUUGUCGUCAGCUCGUGCCGUGAGGUGUCGGCUUAAGUGCCAUAACGAGCGCAACCCUCAUCGAUAGUUACUAACAGGUUAAGCUGAGGACUCUAUCGAGACUGCCGACGUAAGUCGUGAGGAAGGUGGGGAUGACGUCAAAUCAGCACGGCCCUUACGUCCAGGGCUACACACGUGUUACAAUGGGGGGUACAAAGGGCAGCUACCUGGCGACAGGAUGCUAAUCUCAAAAACCUCUCUCAGUUCGGAUUGGAGUCUGCAACCCGACUCCAUGAAGCUGGAUUCGCUAGUAAUCGCGCAUCAGCCACGGCGCGGUGAAUACGUUCCCGGGCCUUGUACACACCGCCCGUCAAGCCAUGGGAGCCGGGGGGACCUGAAGUAUGCAACCGUAAGGAGCGUCCUAGGGUAAAACUGGUGACUGGGGCU
rnacentral:rRNA from 1 species